GAUGAACGCUGGCGGCGUGCUUAAUACAUGCAAGUCGAGCGAACAGACGAGGAGUUUGCUCCUCUGACGUUAGCGGCGGACGGGUGAGUAACACGUGGAUAACCUCCCUAUAAGACUGGGAUAACUUCGGGAAACCGGAGCUAAUACCGGAUAAUAUAUUGAACCGUAUGGUUCAAUAGUGAAAGUCGGUUUUGCUGUCACUUAUAGAUGGAUCCGCGCCGCAUUAGCUAGUUGGUAAGGUAACGGCUUACCAAGGCAACGAUGCGUAGCCGACCUGAGAGGGUGAUCGGCCACACUGGAACUGAGCCACGGUCCAGACUCCUACGGGAGGCAGCAGUAGGGAAUCUUCCGCAGUGGGCGAAAGCAUGGCGGAGCAACGCCGCGUGAGUGAUGAAGGUCUUCGGAUCGUAAAACUCUGUUAUUAGGGAAGAACAAAUGUGUAAGUAACUAUGCACGUCUUGACGGUACCUAAUCAGAAAGCCACGGCUAACUACGUG
rnacentral:rRNA from 1 species